GGGGCGUUAGCUCAGUUGGUAGAGCGCAACAAUGGCAUUGUUGAGGUCACGGUUCGAUCCCGCUACGCUCCA
rnacentral:tRNA from 1 species